rnacentral:rRNA from 1 species
AGUAAUAUGGUGCCGGUAGCCGCGGUAAUACGAAGGGGUCGAGCGUUGUCCGGAAUUAAGGGGCAGAAAUAGCUUGUAGGCGGUAUGUCGCGUCUGCGGUAAAAAUACGGUGAUCAACCCCGGACUGGCAGUGGGUACGGGCAGACUAGAUGAUGGGAGGGGAGACUGGAAUUCCUGGUGUAGCGGUGAAAUGCGCAGAUAUCAGGAGGAACACCGAUGGCGAAGGCAGGUCUCUGGGCCACUACUGACGCUGAGAAGCGAAAGCAUGGGGAGCGAACAGGAUUAGAUACCCGUGUAGUC